rnacentral:rRNA from 1 species
CCUACGGGCGGCAGCAGUGGGGAAUAUUGGACAAUGGGGGCAACCCUGAUCCAGCCAUGCCGCGUGUGUGAAGAAGGCCCUCGGUUUGUAAAGCACUUUCAGUGAGGAAGAACGCCUGGUGGUUAAUACCCAUCAGGAAAGACAUCACUCACAGAAGAAGCACCGGCUAACUCCGUGCCAGCAGCCGCGGUAAUACGGAGGGUGCGAGCGUUAAUCGGAAUUACUGGGCGUAAAGCGCGCGUAGGUGGCUUGAUAAGCCGGUUGUGAAAGCCCCGGGCUCAACCUGGGAACGGCAUCCGGAACUGUCAAGCUAGAGUGCAGGAGAGGAAGGUAGAAUUCCCGGUGUAGCGGUGAAAUGCGUAGAGAUCGGGAGGAAUACCAGUGGCGAAGGCGGCCUUCUGGACUGACACUGACACUGAGGUGCGAAAGCGUGGGUAGCAAACAGGAUUAGAUACCCGAGUAGUC